rnacentral:ncRNA from 2 species
CAUCAAUUAAAUACGGGUCCUCAUAUAUUUCUUGGGAUAUGGCCUUGAAGUUUCUACCCGGCACCGUAAAUGCUGGACUAUGAGGAAGGAUGAAUCAUUG